rnacentral:rRNA from 1 species
AAUCUCGGGAAACUGAGAAUAAUACCCCAUAGGUCAUGGAUGCUGGAAUGCUUCAUGGCUCAAAGUUGCGGCGCCCAAGGAUGAGUCUGCGGCCUAUCAGGUUGUAGUGGGUGUAAUGGACCCACUAGCCAGUGACGGGUACGGGCGUUGGGAGACGUCGCCCGGAGUUGGAUUCUGAGACACUAAUCCAGGCCCUACGGGGCGCAGCAGUCGCGAAAACUUGGCAAUGCGGGAAACCGCGACCAGGGAAUUCCAAGUGCAUACGUUUUACGUAUGCUGUUCGUUUGCCUAAAAAGCAGGCGAAGUAAGGGCUGGGAAAGACAGGUGCCAGCCGCCGCGGUAAUACCUGCAGCCCAAGUGGUGAUCGUUAUUAUUGAGCCUAAAGCGUCCGUAGCCGGUCUGGUAAACCCUUAGGUAAAUCGGGCAGCUUAGCUGUCCGAAUUCCGAGGGGACUGCCAGACUUGGGACCGGGAGAGGUCAGAGGUACUUCAGGGGUAGGGGCUAAAUCCUGUAACCCUUGAAGGACCACCAGUGGCGAGGGCGUCUGACUAGAACGGAUCCGACGGUAAGGGACGAAACCCUGGGGCGCAAACCGGAUUAGAUACCCGGGUAGUCCAGGGCGUAAACGCUGCAGGCUUGGUGUUGGGGACCCUACGGGGGUGCUCAGUGCCGGAGUGAAGAUGUUAAGCCUGCCGCUUGGGGAGUACGUCCGCAAGGAUGAAACUUAAA